UACGUAGGGGGCUAGCGUUGUCCGGAAUCAUUGGGCGUAAAGCGCGCGUAGGCGGCCCGGUAAGUCCGCUGUAAAAGUCAAAGGCUCAACCUUUGAAUGUCAGUGGAUACUGCCGGGCUAGAGUCCGGAAGAGGCGAGUGGAAUUCCUGGUGUAGCGGUGAAAUGCGCAGAUAUCAGGAGGAACACCGAUGGCGAAGGCAGCUCGCUGGACCGGCAUUGACGCUGAGGUGCGAAAGCGUGGGGAGCAAACAGG
rnacentral:rRNA from 1 species